rnacentral:tRNA from 1 species
CAAAUUAGAGCUAUUUUAGCAUUUUAGUUACAUUAAAAAGUUAAUUGUUAGAUCAAUUUAAUUUGA